CCUACGGGAGGCUGCAGUGAGGAAUAUUGGUCAAUGGACGAGAGUCUGAACCAGCCAAGUCGCGUGAAGGAUGACUGCCCUAUGGGUUGUAAACUUCUUUUAUAUGGGAAUAAAAUGUUCCACGUGUGGGAUUUUGUAUGUACCAUAUGAAUAAGGAUCGGCUAACUCCGUGCCAGCAGCCGCGGUAAUACGGAGGAUCCGAGCGUUAUCCGGAUUUAUUGGGUUUAAAGGGAGCGUAGGUGGAUUGUUAAGUCAGUUGUGAAAGUUUGCGGCUCAACCGUAAAAUUGCCGUUGAAACUGGCAGUCUUGAGUACAGUAGAGGUAGGCGGAAUGCGUGGUGUAGCGGUGAAAUGCUUAGAUAUCACGAAGAACUCCGAUUGCGAAGGCAGUUCACUGGACUGCAACUGACACUGAGGCUCGAAAGUGUGGGUAUCAAACAGGAUUAGAUACCCCUGUAGUC
rnacentral:rRNA from 1 species